rnacentral:rRNA from 1 species
AUUGAACGCUGGCGGCGUGCCUAACACAUGCAAGUCGAGCGGUAACAGGUGUAGCAAUACAUGCUGACGAGCGGCGGACGGGUGAGUAACGCUUGGGAAUCUGCCUAUUAGUGGGGGACAACCCGGGGAAACGUCGGGCUAAUACCGCAUACGCUCUACGGAGGAAGCCGGGACCGCAGCCUGGCGCUAAUAGAUGAGCCCAAGUCGGAUUAGCUAGUUGGAGGGUAACGGCCUACCAAGGCUACGAUCCGUAACUGGUCUGAGAGGACGACCAGUCACACCGGAGCUGAGACACGGUCCGGACUCCUACGGGAGGCAGCAGUGGGGAAUCUUGCGCAAUGGGCGAAAGCCUGACGCAGCGACGCCGCGUGA